rnacentral:lncRNA from 1 species
AACUUCCGUAUGCCCGUUGAGCCCUACUAGAUUCAUGUGGUUCAGAAAGCUGAGAAGAUUAUUCGCUGUGCACUUACAUUCUUGUUCCAGUUCGUGCAGAAUAGUAUUCUGAAUGUAAAAUGGGUCUACCCAUAAUUAGUUUCUUGAAGGCUUUUAUUUAAAUAAUUGAAACCCGGGUUUUGUUCUGGGAUUUGAACACAAAAGUGGUCCUCUUUUCAAGGCAGAG